CAACUUUCAGCAACGGAUCUCUUGGCUCUCCCAUCGAUGAAGAACGCAGCGAAAUGCGAUAAGUAAUGUGAAUUGCAGAAUUCAGUGGAUCAUCGAAUCUUUGAACGCACCUUGCGCCCUUUGGUAUUCCGAAGGGCAUGCCUGUUUGAGUGUCAUUA
rnacentral:rRNA from 1 species